rnacentral:lncRNA from 1 species
UGUAUUGACAUGUAUUGAAAUAUUACAAACAUAAUUCCUUUUUUUUUCUUCCUCUUAUCCUUCUAUUUUUUCUUCCUCUUAUCCUUCUAUUUUUUCAUUCCUUUUUUUUUCUUUUCUAUUUUUUUUUCUUUUUCUGCCAACUUCUGAAAUAUUACAAACAUAAUUAUUCAACCCCACACAACUCCAAACAAGACUCUUU